UUGAUAACUUAGUGGCGGACGGGUGAGUAACGCGUGGGUAACCUGCCUUGCACUGGGGGAUAACACUUAGAAAUAGGUGCUAAUACCGCAUAACAGUAGGAGACGCAUGUCUUUUACUUGAAAAUUCCGGUGGUGUAAGAUGGACCCGCGUCUGAUUAGCUUGUUGGCGGGGUAACGGCCCACCAAGGCGACGAUCAGUAGCCGGCCUGAGAGGGUGAACGGCCACAUUGGGACUGAGACACGGCCCAAACUCCUACGGAAGGCAGCAG
rnacentral:rRNA from 1 species